rnacentral:tRNA from 1 species
GGGCGGUUAGCUCAGCGGUAGAGCGUCUGCCUUACAAGCAGAGGGUCACAGGUUCAAAUCCUGUACCGCCCA